rnacentral:rRNA from 1 species
GAAUUUUUCGCAAUGGGGGAAACCCUGACGAAGCAACGCCGCGUGGAGGAUGAAGGCCUUCGGGUCGUAAACUCCUGUCGACCGGGACGAAGGUACCCGACCUAAUACGUCGGAGUAUUGACUGUACCGGUGGAGGAAGCCACGGCUAACCCUGUGCCAGCAGCCGCGGUAAGACAGAGGUGGCAAGCGUUGUUCGGAAUUACUGGGCGUAAAGGGCGCGUAGGCGGUCCGAUAAGUCCCGUGUGAAAUCCCUCGGCUCAACUGAGGAACCGCACGGGAAACUGCCGGGCUUGAGUUCGGGAGAGGGAAGCGGAAUUCCGGGUGUAGCGGUGAAAUGCGUAGAUAUCCGGAGGAACACCGGUGGCGAAGGCGGCUUCCUGGACCGACACUGACGCUGAGGCGCGAAAGCUAGGGGAGCAAACGGG